rnacentral:rRNA from 1 species
UAAGGAAUAUUGCUCAAUGGGAGAAAUCCUGAAGCAGCAACGCCGCGUGGAGGAUGAAGGGUCUAUGACUUGUAAACUCCUGUAAAGAAGGAAAAAAUUCCCAUUAGAUGGGAGAUGAUGGUACUUCUGGAGUAAGCCCCGGCUAACUACGUGCCAGCAGCCGCGGUAAUACGUAGGGGGCAAGCGUUGUCCGAAUUUACUGGGUGUAAAGGGUGCUCAGGCGGAUUUGUAAGUCAGAGGUGAAAUCUUACAGCUUAACUGUGAAACUGCCUUUGAUACUGCAAGCCUAGAGUAUGGAAGAGAGUGAUGGAAUAUCUGGUGUAGCAGUGAAAUGCGUAGAUAUCAGAUAGAACACCAAUGGCGAAGGCAGUCACUUGGUCCAUUACUGACGCUAAAGCACGAAAGCGUGGGUAGCAAACA